rnacentral:lncRNA from 1 species
AAAAUUUUGUUAGCUUUUAAUUUUUCGGAGAUUUUUUUUUAGAGUUUUAAGCACUUUUUGUUAAGUAAAUUUUAAAAUUGGUAAACUUCAAAUACCGCCUCUGUAGCUUCGCAUUUUCUCACUUUAACAACAUGUGGUUUAAAGUGUAUCAAGUUAGUGCUCUAUGGUUUUAUUUUUUUUCUUUUCGUCAGUUCCUUCAUUAAUAUUUUGUUAAAUUAUAUACAAAAAACUUCAGAUACCUUACCUAGAUUUAUUGAAUAUUCAUUUAAGUAUUCUUUAAUUUUAACUUUUGUCACUGAUUUAACAAAAAAAAAUAUAGUGAAAUGGAUAAUAAAAAAAGAAAAAUAAAACCACAUGAUACUAAAUUAAUACACUUUAAACCAUAGGGUGCUAAAAUGAGAAAGUGCGAAACCAUAAGGGUGGUAUUUGAAGUUUUUUUUAAAAAAUUAAUGGUUUAUAGCUGAUAAAUAAGAAAAAUUUUGAGUUUUUCUAGCUAGAGUGAUUUAAUUAAAUAAAUUAUAUGUUAAUGAGUAUUG